rnacentral:rRNA from 1 species
GGCGUACCGCUCAGUAACACGUGGGUAACCUGCCCUAUGCUGGGGGAUAACCUCGGGAAACUGAGAAUAAUACCCCAUAGUUCACCACGCCUGGAACGGUGGGUGGACCAAAGCCCCGGCGGCAUAGGAUGGGCCUGCGGCGUAUCAGGUUGUAGGGGGUGUAAUGUACCCUCUAGCCCUCUACGCGUACGGGUGUUGGGAGACAUAGCCCGGAGAUGGAUUCUGAGACACGAAUCCAGACCCUACGGGGUGCAGCAGGCGCGAAAACUUGGCAAUGCGAGAAAUCGUGACCAGGGAACUCCAAGUGCAUCGGGUAAGACCGAUGCUUUUCUUGACUCUUCAAAGGUCUUGGAAUAAGGGGUGGGUAAGGACGGUGCCAGCCGCCGCGGUAAUACCGGCGCCCCAAGUGGUAGUCGCUUUUAUUGGGCCUAAAACGUCCGUAGCCGGUCUGGUACAUUCGUGGGUAAAUCAACCAGCUCAACUGGUUGAAUUCUGCGAGCACGGCCAGACUUGGGACCGGGAGAGGUGUGGGGUACUCUCAGGGUAGGGGUAAAAUCCUGUCAUCCUGAGAGGACCACCUGUUGCGAAGGCGCCACACUAGAACGGAUCCGACGGUCAGGGACGAAGCCUAGGGGCACGAACCGGAUUAGAUACCCGGGUAGUCCUAGGUGUAAACGCUGUGGACUUGAUGUUGGGGGCGCUCCGAGCGCACUCAGUGUCGAAGCGAAGGUGAUAAGUCCACUGCCUGGGGAGUACGGUCGCAAGGCUGAAACUUAAAGGAAUUGGCGGGGGAGCACCGCAACCUGAGGAUUGUGCGGUUUAAUUGGAUUCAACGCCGGAAAACUCACCAUAGCCGACGGACAUAUGAAGGCCAGCGUAACGAGCUUGCCGGAUUGUUCGAGAGGUAGUGCAUGGCCGUCGUCAGUUCGUACCGCAAGGCGUUCUGUUAAGUC